rnacentral:rRNA from 1 species
GAUGAACGCUGGCGGCGUGCCUAAUACAUGCAAGUAGAACGCUGAAGGAGGAGCUUGCUCUUCUGGAUGAGUUGCGAACGGGUGAGUAACGCGUAGGUAACCUGCCUGGUAGCGGGGGAUAACUAUUGGAAACGAUAGCUAAUACCGCAUGACAACAGUUAUUGCAUGAUAACUGUUUAAAAGGGGCAACUGCUCCACUACCAGAUGGACCUGCGUUGUAUUAGCUAGUUGGUGAGGUAACGGCUCACCAAGGCGACGAUACAUAGCCGAACUGAGAGGGGGGUCGGCCACACUGAGACGGAGACAGGGCCCAGACUCCUACGGGAGGCAGCAGUAGGGAAUCUGCGGCAAUGGACGGAAGUCUGAGCGAGCAACGCGGCGUGAGUGAAGAAGGGUUUCGGAUCGUAAAGCUCUGUUGUAAGAGAAGGACGAGUGUGAGAGUGGAAAGUUCACACUGUGACGGUAUCUUACCAGAAAGGGACGGCUAACUACGUG